AAUAUAGGAACGAAGGCUAGGAACGCCACCUCGUGUGGCAACGCCUUCGUGACCAACAUCCUGUUGG
rfam:Paenisporosarcina sp. HGH0030 genomic scaffold acAqH-supercont1.1, whole genome shotgun sequence.